rnacentral:rRNA from 1 species
GACAGAGGAUGCAAGCGUUAUCCGGAAUGAUUGGGCGUAAAGCGUCUGUAGGUGGCUUUUCAAGUCCGCCGUCAAAUCCCAGGGCUCAACCCUGGACAGGCGGUGGAAGCUACCAAGCUGGAGUACGGUAGGGGCAGAGGGAAUUUCCGGUGGAGCGGUGAAAUGCGCAGAUAUCAGGAGGAACACCGGUGGCGAAGGCGGGGUCCUGGGCCAGUACUGACGCUGAGGAGCGAAAGCGUGGGGAGCGAACAGG